rnacentral:tRNA from 1 species
UUGGCUGAAGCCAAAAAGCGGCGUAUCACUGUUAAUGAUAGAACUGAAUUUUUCCAGCCAAG